GACGAACGCUGGCGGCGUGCCUAAUACAUGCAAGUAGAACGCUGAAGGAGGAGCUUGCUUCUCUGGAUGAGUUGCGAACGGGUGAGUAACGCGUAGGUAACCUGCCUGGUAGCGGGGGAUAACUAUUGGAAACGAUAGCUAAUACCGCAUAAUAGUAGAUGUUGCAUGACAUUUGCUUAAAAGGUGCAAUUGCAUCACUACCAGAUGGACCUGCGUUGUAUUAGCUAGUUGGUGGGGUAACGGCUCACCAAGGCGACGAUACAUAGCCGACCUGAGAGGGUGAUCGGCCACACUGGGACUGAGACACGGCCCAGACUCCUACGGGAGGCAGCAGUAGGGAAUCUUCGGCAAUGGACGGAAGUCUGACCGAGCAACGCCGCGUGAGUGAAGAAGGUUUUCGGAUCGUAAAGCUCUGUUGUAAGAGAAGAACGAGUGUGAGAGUGGAAAGUUCACACUGUGACGGUAUCUGACCAGAAAGGGACGGCUAACUACGU
rnacentral:rRNA from 1 species